rnacentral:rRNA from 1 species
CAGAGGGUGCGAGCGUUGUUCGGAAUUACUGGGCGUAAAGCGCGCGCAGGCGGCCCUUUAAGUCUGUCGGUCAAAUGCCGGGGCUCAACCCCGGGCGUGCCGAGGAUACUGGAGGGCUGGAGACACGUAGAGGCAAGCGGAAUUCCGGGUGUAGCGGUGGAAUGCGUAGAGAUCCGGAGGAACACCGGAGGCGAAGGCGGCUUGCUGGGCGUGAUCUGACGCUGAGGCGCGAAAGCGUGGGGAGCGAACAGGAUUAGAUACCCUGGUAGUCCACGCCGUAAACGAUGGGCACUAGACGCUGGUGGGAUCGACCCCUUCGGUGUCGCAGCUAACGCGAUAAGUGCCCCGCCUGGGGAGUACGGCCGCAAGGCUG